rnacentral:lncRNA from 1 species
AAAUAGGUAGAGAACAGGCUUCAUAAUUCUGCCUAUAAUAUAGACUGCCUGUGUCAUGGACCCCUCUUGUAGACAGCACUUGAAUCCUAGACCCAAAGGAGUAGAUGAAGCCUGGAUGGAUGAGAGAUCCAAAAAGUA